rnacentral:rRNA from 1 species
GUGGGUUUGGUCGCUCGCAUUUAAAUUGGAAGGGUAAUGGUGGACCGCACUUCUCCCUUAGUAGGACGUUGCGACCUGUCAAAUAAUAUCCUAAGUAUUUGGCUAAUUUGUCUGUUUUUAGGCAGUACUGAAAGGUAUUUCCUUUAACAGUUUUAGCCGUUUAGAUACUGGAUAUAAUUGACAGUAACGAAUCAUGGUGUUGAGCCACUUACUUUGUAAGUGUCCUUCAUGGCUGUUUGCAAGUGGGUUGGUUAAUUAGUUUUAGUCGGAUUUCGGUCCGUCUAACUAUUCCGCCUA